rnacentral:miRNA from 1 species
GAGGUGGGAGGACUACUUGAGCCCAGCAGGUUGAGGCUACAGUGAGCUGUGAUCAUACCACUGCACUCCAGCCUGGGUGACAGAGUGAGACCCUGUCUC